CCCAAAUACAGGUGUGCCAAGCGUGUAGCGUCAUACCCAGGAAGACCCGAGGCUUUAAUCACUGCCAAAGGUGCUUCAACAAAGUACUGAGUAAAGGGUCUGAAUACUUACGUAAAUGUGAUAUUUCAGUUUAAAUUUUUUAUAAAUUAUAAACAAUGUCUAACAUCCUGUUUUUGCUUUGUCAUUAUGGGGUAUUGUGUGUAACAAUUUAAUCAAUUUUAGAAUAAGGCUGUAAUGUAACAAAAUCUGUAAAAAGUCAAUGGGUCUGAAUACUUUCCGAAGGCACUGUAUGUGUAAGGUGGUGUGUGUACCCUAGGGUAGAGAUGGUGUGUGUGUACCCUAGGGUAGAGAUGGUGUGUGUGUACCCUAGGGUAGAGGUGGUGUGUGUGUACCCUAGGGUAGAGAUGGUGUGUGUGUACCCUAGGGUAGAGAUGGUGUGUGUGUACCCUAGGGUAGAGAUGGUGUGUGUGUACCCUAGGGUAGAGAUGGUGUGUGUGUACCCUAGGGUAGAGGUGGUGUGUGUGUGUACCCUAGGGUAGAGAUGGUGUGUGUACCCUAGGGUAGAGAUGGUGUGUGUGUGCACCCUAGGGUAGAGAUGGUGUGUGUGUACCCUAGGGUAGAGGUGGUGUGUGUGUGUACCCUAGGGUAGAGAUGGU
rnacentral:lncRNA from 1 species